UACGAAGGGAGCUAGCGUUGUUCGGAAUCACUGGGCGUAAAGCGCACGUAGGCGGAUGUGUCAGUCAGGGGUGAAAUCCCGGAGCUCAACUUCGGAACUGCCUUUGAUACAGCACAUCUGGAGUCCGGAAGAGGUGGGUGGAAUUCCUAGUGUAGAGGUGAAAUUCGUAGAUAUUAGGAAGAACACCGGUGGCGAAGGCGGCCCACUGGAU
rnacentral:rRNA from 1 species